GAUGAACGCUGGCGGCGUGCUUAACACAUGCAAGUCGAACGGGAAACUUUUCGUUGAAGCUUCGGCAGAUUUGGUCUGUUUCUAGUGGCGGACGGGUGAGUAACGCGUGGGUAACCUGCCUUAUACAGGGGGAUAACAACCAGAAAUGGUUGCUAAUACCGCAUAAGCGCACAGGACCGCAUGGUCCGGUGUGAAAAACUCCGGUGGUAUAAGAUGGACCCGCGUUGGAUUAGCUAGUUGGCAGGGUAACGGCCUACCAAGGCGACGAUCCAUAGCCGGCCUGAGAGGGUGAACGGCCACAUUGGGACUGAGACACGGCCCAGACUCCUACGGGAGGCAGCAGUGGGGAAUAUUGCACAAUGGGGGAAACCCUGAUGCAGCGACGCCGCGUGAAGGAAGAAGUAUCUCGGUAUGUAAACUUCUAUCAGCAGGGAAGAUAG
rnacentral:rRNA from 1 species